rnacentral:misc_RNA from 1 species
GAAAUGCGAUAAGUAGUGUGAAUUGCAGAAUUCAGUGAAUCAUCGAAUCUUUGAACGCACAUUGCGCCCCUUGGUAUUCCAUGGGGCAUGCCUGUUCGAGCGUCAUUUGUACCCUCAAGCUCUGCUUGGUGUUGGGUGUUUGUCCCCGUCUCCGCGCGUGGACUCGCGCCAAAGUGAUUGGCAGCCGGCGUACUGGUCCCGGAGCGCAGCACAUGUCGCGCAAACGAGUGCCUUGGUACGGCGGCGUCCAUAAGCCCCUCUCUCACGCUCUUGACCUCGGAUCAGGUAGGGAUACCCGCUGAACUUAAGC